UAAUAGUGUAUAUUAAAGUUGUUGCAGUUAAAAAGCUCGUAGUUGAAUGUUGGUGUCGAACGAGCGGUCAGCUUCGGCUGUACUGCUCUCUCGACUCCUUCCUUCUGUGGACUACGUCGCACUUUACUGUGUGGCGCUAGGACGCCGAUCGUUUACUGUGAAAAAAUUAGAGUGUUCAAAGCAGGCCGUACGCUUGAAUACAUUAGCAUGGAAUAAUGGAAUAGGACGUCGGGCCUAUUUUGUUGGUUCUAGGACCGUCGUAAUGAUUAAUAGGGACAGUUGGGGCCGUUUAUAUUCCGUAGUCAGAGGUGAAAUUCUUGGAUUUACGGAAGAUAAACUACUGCGAAAGCAUUCGGCAAGGAUGUUUUCGUUAA
rnacentral:rRNA from 1 species